rnacentral:rRNA from 1 species
UACGUAGGGGGCAAGCGUUUGUCCGGAUUUAUUGGGCGUAAAGCGCGUGUAGGCGGUCCGGUAAGUCCGCUGUGAAAGUCGAGGGCUCAACCCUCGAAUGCCGGUGGAUACUGUCGGGCUAGAGUACGGAAGAGGCGAGUGGAAUUCCUGGUGUAGCGGUGAAAUGCGCAGAUAUCAGGAGGAACACCAAUUGCGAAGGCAGCUCGCUGGGACGUUACUGACGCUGAGACGCGAAAGCGUGGGGAGCAAACAGG